CUUUUGCAGACAAUGAUCGACCUAACGAGUAAUCAUCAGCGCGUUCAGCCCACCGCAAAUAGGCUUGUUCGGGACUUGGCGAGAUCUCUCGGAGGUCUCGAACUCCGGUAGCGACUGAGGAGGGGUCGUUACAAAGGCUGAGCUGCUAGCGGUUAAAGAAGCAACGAUAAUCUUUGCUACGUCCAAGUGGUGCUCCUCUCACACUCUCCUCCAUGAAUGUGAUAAUUGUAAUGUUGUUAAUUGGAUCUUCAAUCCUCAUGAUGUUCCUUGGAAAUUAAGGAAAUUGGUUAUCCAAACUUGCGUUGUUCUUGGCAAAAUUAGUACGUGGGAAAUUACACACAUUCCCCGUUCUGCCAAUGAAAAGGUAGACUCACUGCUAAAAAAGGUGUUCUUAGAACCAAAGAGCUUUUUUGGGUCAAUCAUGCAGACUGAACCAUCCUUUUGUGUUUCUUGCUUGUUUUGUGCUUAUGUUUGCUCAAUCUGGUCCUUUUGCAUUUAGUCUGGAGGUUUUGUGGUUCAUAGCUUACUUGUUCUCUCAUUGGUUGCCUUUGUAGAUAGAUCUGCUAAGUACAAGGUAAAGGCUUCAUGUUAUGAUUCAAUGCAUAGUCAUGUCUUGUAUACGUUGA